GAUGAAGAACGUAGCGAAAUGCGAUACUUGGUGUGAAUUGCAGAAUCCCGUGAACCAUCGAGUCUUUGAACGCAAGUUGCGCCCGAAGCCAUUAGGCCGAGGGCACGCCUGCCUGGGCGUCACACGUCGUUGCCCCCCCCAUCUACUCCUUCGGGAUUGCGGGGGCGGAUGAUGGCCUCCCGUGUGCCUCGCCGCGCGGUUGGCAUAAAUGCCAAGUCCUCGGCGACGCACGCCACGACAAUCGGUGGUUGCGAAACCUCGGUUGCCCGUCGUGUGCGGUCGUCGCGCAUCGAGGGCUCGAAAAAAUUGCCGGGUUCCGGCUCGGCUUUCAACGCGACCCCAGGUCAGGCGGGGUUACCCGCUGAAUUUAAGCAUAUCAAUAAGCGGAGGA
rnacentral:misc_RNA from 1 species